GCCGGAGUGGCGGAACUGGUAGACGCACGGGACUUAAAAUCCCGGGAACAUAAUCGUUCGUGUCGGUUCGAUUCCGACCUCCGGCA
rnacentral:tRNA from 1 species